AGAGUUGAUCAUGGCUCAGGAUGAACGCUAGCGGCAGGCCUAACACAUGCAAGUCGAGGGGCAGCGGGGUGUAGCAAUACACCGCCGGCGACCGGCGCACGGGUGACGUAACGCGUAUGCAACCUGCCCGCGACAGGGGGAUAACGCUGUGAAAGCGGCACUAAUACCCCGUAACACCCGGGGCCGCAUGGCCUUGGGUUGAAAGGAGAGAUCCGGUCGCGGAUGGGCAUGCGUGACAUUAGCUAGUUGGCGGGGCAACGGCCCACCAAGGCUGCGAUGUCUAGGGGAGCUGAGAGGCUAAUCCCCCACACUGGUACUGAGACACGGACCAGACUCCUACGGGAGGCAGCAGUGAGGAAUAUUGGUCAAUGGUCGGAAGACUGAACCAGCCAUGCCCGCGUGGAGGAAGAAGGCCCUACGGGUCGUAAACUUCUUUUGCCCGGGAGUAAUAAGCGGGGUGCGCCCCGCGAUGAGAGUACCGGGCGAAUAAGCAUCGGCUAACUCCGUGCCAGCAGCAGC
rnacentral:rRNA from 1 species